CAAUGUUGAGGAGUCCCAUAAUAGGACGAAACGGUCGUCUAGUGC
rfam:Schistosoma margrebowiei strain Zambia genome assembly, scaffold: SMRZ_contig0008777